AGAGUUUGAUCCUGGCUCAGGACGAACGCUGGCGGCGCGCCUAAAACAUGCAAGUCGAGCGAGAACCAGGACUUCGGUCCUGGGGACAGCGGCGAACGGGUGCGUAACACGUGAGCAACCUGCCCCGAAGACCGGGACAAGCCGGGGAAACCUGGUCUAAUACCGGAUGCCCUCACCGGAUCGCAUGAUCUGGCGAGGAAAUGGAUUCCGCUUCGGGAUGGGCUCGCGGUCUAUCAGCUUGUUGGUGGGGUAACGGCCUACCAAGGCGACGACGGAUAGCUGGUCUGAGAGGACGAUCAGCCACACUGGGACUGAGACACGGCCCAGACUCCUACGGGAGGCAGCAGUUAGGAAUCUUGCGCAGUGGGGGAAACCCUGACGCAGCGACGCCGCGUGCGGGAUGAAGGCUCUCGGGUUGUAAACCGCUUUCAGCAGGGACGAAAUUGACGGUACCUGCAGAAGAAGGCCCGGCCAACUACGUGCCAGCAGCCGCGGUA
rnacentral:rRNA from 1 species